rnacentral:rRNA from 2 species
UGGGGGAUAUUGCACAAUGGGCGAAAGCCUGAUGCAGCAACGCCGCGUGAGGGAAGAAGGUCUUCGGAUUGUAAACCUUUGUCUUAUGGGAAGAAGAAAGUGACGGUACCAUAGGAGGAAGCCACGGCUAACUACGUGCCAGCAGCCGCGGUAAUACGUAGGUGGCGAGCGUUGUCCGGAAUUACUGGGUGUAAAGGGCGUGCAGGCGGCAUAUUAAGUCAGAUGUGAAAUCUGAGGGCUUAACCCUCAGACUGCAUUUGAAACUGAAGUGCUUGAGUGCAGGAGAGGAAAGCGGAAUUCCUAGUGUAGCGGUGAAAUGCGUAGAUAUUAGGAGGAACACCAGUGGCGAAGGCGGCUUUCUGGACUGUAACUGACGCUGAGACGCGAAAGCGUGGGGAGCAAACAGG